rnacentral:rRNA from 1 species
GAUGAACGCUGGCGGCGUGUCUAAGGCAUGCAAGUCGAACGGACUGUUAUUUGUAGCAAUACUUAGAACAGUUAGUGGCAAACGGGUGCGUAACACAUUGGUAACCUGCCUCAAAGUCGGGCAUAAUCCCGCGAAAGUGGGACUAAUUCCACGAUAGUCAUCGAAGGUGAGAUUCCUUCGAUGUAAAGUCGCAAGACGCUUUGAGAGGGGCCUAUGGCCUAUCAGCUUGUUGGUGAGGUAACGGCUCACCAAGGCUAUGACGGGUAGGGGGUGUGAGAGCACGACCCCCCCUCACUGGGACUGAGACACUGCCCAGACACCUACGGGUGGCUGCAGUCGAGAAUAUUCCCCAAUGGCCGAAAGGCUGAGGGAGCGACGCCGCGUGCAGGAAUAAGGCCU